rnacentral:rRNA from 2 species
CUGGCUCAGAGCGAACGCUGGCGGCAGGCUUAACACAUGCAAGUCGAGCGGGCCCUUCGGGGUCAGCGGCGGACGGGUGAGUAACGCGUGGGAACGUGCCUUCUGGUUCGGAAUAACCCUGGGAAACUAGGGCUAAUACCGGAUACGCCCUUAUGGGGAAAGGUUUACUGCCGGAAGAUCGGCCCGCGUCUGAUUAGCUAGUUGGUGGGGUAACGGCCUACCAAGGCGACGAUCAGUAGCUGGUCUGAGAGGAUGAUCAGCCACACUGGGACUGAGACACGGCCCAGACUCCUACGGGA